CCUUUGGUUUUGUUAUCAACAAUUUGCUCUAUGAUCUAUGGCCAACUUCUAUUAUUCAAAACCCAAACUCCAUUCAUCCACCACCUUUUUAUUUCUUCUUUGCCUUCUACUUGCACGCCUACAACUUUCAAGUGCUAAUCAGACAUUCCCAACAAAAGUGAACCAUAGUUAUAGUCAAAGCAACAUCCAAAGAAUUCGACUUGACAAUCCGACCCUUGGCUUUCUUGUGGAAAAGAAAUUGUCAUUGCUACUCAAUUUGUACCCUUACUUGAGUUAUAUCAACACCCAUAACAUGCCUCUCAAUUAUGCACUUUUACAAGGACGUCGGCUAUUGUUCAUGGCAAAUUUGUUUACCAAAAUAUGUUCCAUGACUUUUUGGAUGCUGUUUAUUCUGUGUUGGACGAGUCCAAUGGUGAAGAGGACUUUGUAUCGGAUAGUCGUUGGCUAACCGACGUUGUAGUAGAAUUGUUUCAAGCAAAUUUUCAAGAAGUUGCUAACAUAAAACUAUUCCAAGCAAAACACGCUGAACUACGGAGUUGUUAUGAUUGACCCACCAAAAAGAAGGUGCAUCUUAUCUUAUUAAUAAUCACUUUCAAUUCUGGUAAGUCUUUUUUAGUUAUUCUAUCCUCAAAGUCUUUAUCAUUUGAAUAUAGUAUCGAUUUACUCAUA